rnacentral:rRNA from 1 species
CCUACGGGAGUCUGCAGUGGGGAAUAUUGCACAAUGGGGGAAACCCUGAUGCAGCGACGCCGCGUGAGUGAAGAAGUAUUUCGGUAUGUAAAGCUCUAUCAGCAGGGAAGAAAUAAAGUCCUUCGGACUUUGGACGGUACCUGACUAAGAAGCCCCGGCUAACUACGUGCCAGCAGCCGCGGUAAUACGUAGGGGGCAAGCGUUAUCCGGAUUUACUGGGUGUAAAGGGAGCGUAGACGGCGAGGCAAGUCUGGAGUGAAAGCCCGGGGCUCAACCCCGGGACUGCUUUGGAAACUGCCUGGCUGGAGUGCUGGAGAGGCAAGCGGAAUUCCGAGUGUAGCGGUGAAAUGCGUAGAUAUUAGGAAGAACACCAGUGGCGAAGGCGGCUUGCUGGACAGUAACUGACGUUGAGGCUCGAAAGCGUGGGGAGCAAACAGGAUUAGAUACCCGGGUAGUC